GCUAGGAAUAUUCCGCAAUGGGCGAAAGCCUGACGGAGCGACGCCGCGUGGACGAUGAAGGCCUUCGGGUUGUAAAGUCCUUUCGUGCGGGAAGAUUUUUCCCUGUGUAAAUAAUGCAGGGGAUUGACUGUACUGCAGGAAGAAGCCCCGGCUAAUUACGUGCCAGCAGCCGCGGUAAUACGUAUGGGGCAAGCGUUAUUCGGAUUUAUUGGGCGUAAAGCGCAUGUAGGCGGUCUGCUAAGUCGGAUGUGAAAUUUUCAGGCUUAACCUGAAACUUGCACCCGAAACUGACGGACUUGAGUUCAGAAGAGGAGAAUGGAAUUCCAGGUGUAGGAGUGAAAUCUGUAGAUAUCUGGAAGAACACCAGUGGCGAAGGCGAUUCUCUGGUCUGAAACUGACGCUUAGAUGCGAAAGCCAGGGGAGCAAACGGGAUUAGAUACCCGAGUAGUCC
rnacentral:rRNA from 1 species